ACCUCUGUGGACUAGGAAAGUCUCCUCGUUGCUGUCCGGCAUUCUCGAUUUCAUGGAGUAUAGUGAGGAGACGAGGGUUCGACUCCCUCCAGAGGUU